UAGUCAUAUGCUUGUCUCAAAGAUUAAGCCAUGCAUGUCUAAGUACAAGCCUCACUAAGGUGAAACCGCGAAUGGCUCAUUAAACCACACCUAAUCUACUGGAUAGUUAACAGUUACUUGGAUAACUGCGGUAAUUCUGGAGCUAAUACAUGCACAAAGCCCCGAACUUACGUGAGGGGCGCUUUUAUUAGAUCAAAACCAAACGGCUUCGGCUGUAUCCUUGGUGACUCUGAAUAACUUUGGGCUGAUCGCAUGGCCUAGCGCCGGCGACAUAUCCUUCGAAGGUGUGCCCUAUCAACUGUCGACUGUGGCAUAGACGCCCACAGUGGUUUUGACGGGUAACGGGGAAUCAGGGUUCGAUUCCGGAGAGGGAGCCUUAAAAACGGCUACCACAUCUAAGGAAGGCAGCAGGCACGCAAAUUACCCAAUGACCGAAGGUCGAGGUAGUGACAAAAAAUAACGAUACGGGACUCAUCUGAGGCCCCGUAAUCGGAAUGAGUACACUUUAAAACCGUCCCCGAGGAUCUAUA
rnacentral:rRNA from 1 species